rnacentral:rRNA from 1 species
UGGGGAAUCUUGCACAAUGGGGGCAACCCUGAUGCAGCGACGCCGCGUGAGCGAUGAAGCCCUUCGGGGCGUAAAGCUCUUUCGACCGGAACGAUAAUGACGGUACCGGGAGAAGAAGCUGCGGCUAACUACGUGCCAGCAGCCGCGGUAAUACGUAGGCAGCAAGCGUUGUUCGGAGUUACUGGGCGUAAAGAGUGCGUAGGCGGUUUUCUAAGUUCGGUGUGAAAUCUCCCGGCUUAACUGGGAGGGUGCGCCGAAGACUGGGAAGCUGGAGUGUGGGAAAGGCAGGCGGAAUUCCUGGUGUAGCGGUGAAAUGCGUAGAUAUCAGGAGGAACACCGGCGGUGUAGACGGCUUGCUAGACCAUAACUGACGCUGAGGCGCGAAAGCGUGGGUAGCAAACA